GGAGCAUGACUCUGCUCUGCCACAUGGCACACGCCCUCGAAAUGCGACAUCGUGAUCCCAAAUCUCAUGAACAACAUCCGCACCUGAAUCUAACCAGCUACCUUGAGAGCUGGUAGGACCACCUCUUUCCUACAAAAGGAUUUCUUUUUUUAAUUAUAGGCUGAUCCGGGAAUUCAGAAACACGGGAUCUGUCGAAGAAGAAGCAAACAAAACCCUACAGUCAGUCCGAGCGAAGCACAGAGCAUUCAGAACUUCAAGGAGUUAAAGCUGAGGAGGGUUGCUUUCACAUUAACAAGAAAAUUCUGCAUGCAGCUGCUUUGGCCAUGCUCUCUAGCUAGUCAGGAAAUGGGUGUUGAGCUGAAGCUGAAAAUACAAGCUGCAAUCAAGCCCGAUCCAGCCAAGUGACAGACUUCCUGUGUAAACUGGUCAGAAAUCGCCCUCUUUUCAUGUCUCUACAUGCAUGCACAUGCAUUUAAAUCCAUGCUGCAAGGCUGAUCUUCUCCCUGGGGACACUGGUACAGUCACCUAGCUCAUCAGUUUCUUCCUUGACAGCACCGGGGACAUCCAGACUACAAUUUACAGUUCUUCCACCCAUAGACUGGGUUAUAAAUUAUGCCUUCCUCCCUAGAAUGAGAAUGCAGGGCCAGCGGCAGACAAUCGAACGGCAUUCCGCCUCUCCUCUUUCUUCUCAGGCGCUCCCUCGCUCUGCCUUUCUCCAACUGUGCCUCGUCGGCAGGCAGGCAGACACAUCAGAGACCAGGUUUAUCCAUCUUCAGCUCCACUCUCAAGUAAAAUGCCACCACAUCUCGCCAUGGGUCUUUCCUCCCAGACUAAUCCCCAAGAGCAGCCUGAGCUGGGUGCGCCGUGGGGAAGACCAGUGGGCAUUGGACGGAUCAAAUUCCUAACUUCUCCUGCCCGGUCCUUGGCGUUCUUUCUAUCCAUCCCACCCCGGGUCUUCUCCCGCAUCACCCUGUCCUCCGAGUCCCCUCGCCUGCCUGCGAGGGGACCCCGGCCAGAGCUCCACCAGCAGGUCCUUGUUCUGCGCUGCGUAGACCGAUGAUGCUGGGUUCCCGUGCGCCAUGAAGAAGCCGAAGCCGGGAGACAGCAACAGCAGCUCAGGUAACCAGGAGAAGCUUGGCGUGCCCACAGCGAUGCAGCCCUGGAGCUGUGAGGAAAGACGGUCUGGCUUCAGAAUAAAAAAAAGAAAGAAAGAAACACAAAAC
ensembl:lncRNA